GGGGAAUAUUGGGCAAUGGGGGCAACCCUGCCCCAGCGACGCCGCGUGGGGGAAGACGGCCUUCGGGUUGUAAACCUCUUUUGUACGGGAAGAAGGAAGUGACGGUACUGUACGAAUAAGUCCCGGCUAACUACGUGCCAGCAGCCGCGGUAAUACGUAGGGGACGAGCGUUGUCCGGAAUUACUGGGCGUAAAGGGCGCGCAGGCUGUGCUGCAAGUCAGCUGUUAAAUGUCUGGGCUUAACCCGGGCAUGCGGUUGAGACUGCGGUGCUGGAGUGCUGUAGAGGCAAGUGGAAUUCCCAGUGUAGCGGUGAAAUGCGUAGAUAUUGGGAAGAACACCGGUGGCGAAGGCGACUUGCUGGGCAGCAACUGACGCUGAGGCGCGAAAGCCAGGGGAGCAAACGG
rnacentral:rRNA from 1 species